rnacentral:rRNA from 1 species
AGCGAACGCUGGCGGCAGGCCUAACACAUGCAAGUCGAGCGCCCCGCAAGGGGAGCGGCAGACGGGAGAGUAACACGUGGGAACGUACCCUUCGGUUCGGAACAACCCAGGGAAACUUGGGCUAAUACCGGAUACGUCCGAAAGGAGAAAGAUUUAUCGCCGAGGGAUCGGCCCGCGUCUGAUUAGCUAGUUGGUGAGGUAACGGCUCACCAAGGCGACGAUCAGUAGCUGGUCUGAGAGGAUGAUCAGCCACACUGGGACUGAGACACGGCUCAGACUCCUACGGGAGGCAGCAGUGGGGAAUAAUGGACAAUGGGCGCAAGCCUGAUCCAGCCAUGCCGCGUGAGUGAUGAAGGCCCUAGGGUUGUAAAGCUCUUUCGACGGGGACGAUAAUGACGGUACCCGUAGAAGAAGCCCCGGCUAACUUCGUGCCAGCCGCCGCUGUAACAC